UACGUAGGGUGCAAGCGUUAAUCGGAAUUACUGGGCGUAAAGCGUGCGCAGGCGGUUUUGUAAGUCUGACGUGAAAUCCCCGGGCUUAACCUGGGAAUUGCGUUGGAGACUGCAAGGCUGGAGUCUGGCAGAGGGGGGUAGAAUUCCACGUGUAGCAGUGAAAUGCGUAGAGAUGUGGAGCAACACCGAUGGCGAAGGCAGACCCCUGGGUCAAGACUGACGCUCAUGUACGAAAGCGUG
rnacentral:rRNA from 1 species